rnacentral:rRNA from 1 species
GGAGGAUCCAAGCGUUAUCCGGAUUUAUUGGGUUUAAAGGGUGCGUAGGCGGCUUACUAAGUCAGGGGUGAAAGACGGUGGCUCAACCAUCGCAGUGCCUUUGAUACUGAUGAGCUUGAAUGAACUAGAGGUAGGCGGAAUGUGACAAGUAGCGGUGAAAUGCAUAGAUAUGUCACAGAACACCCAUUGCGAAGGCAGCUUACUAUGGUUUUAUUGACGCUGAGGCACGAAAGCGUGGGGAUCAAAACAGGAUUAGAUACCCUGGUAGUCCACGCCCUAAACGAUGAAUACUCGCUGUUAGCGAUAUACAGUUAGCGGCUAAGCGAAAGCGUUAAGUAUUCCACCUGGGGAGUACGCCCGCAAGGGUG